CUCGUGCCGUGAGGUGUUGGGUUAAGUCCCGUAACGAGCGCAACCCUUGUCCUUAGUUACCAGCACGUUAUGGUGGGCACUCUAAGGAGACUGCCGGUGACAAACCGGAGGAAGGUGGGGAUGACGUCAAGUCAUCAUGGCCCUUACGGCCUGGGCUACACACGUGCUACAAUGGUCGGUACAAAGGGUUGCCAAGCCGCGAGGUGGAGCUAAUCCCAUAAAACCGAUCGUAGUCCGGAUCGCAGUCUGCAACUCGACUGCGUGAAGUCGGAAUCGCUAGUAAUCGUGAAUCAGAAUGUCACGGUGAAUACGUUCCCGGGCCUU
rnacentral:rRNA from 1 species